UAAGGAACAAUUUAUGAAACGAAACGGCAUCACUUGCUUUUUCGUCAACGAUGAACUGUCAUUUCAUACAAAACAACAGAUCAUACAACUGGUGAGUACAGAAUUUGUUUCUGUUUCCUAUUAAUUUCUAAUUUUAUCAUUAAUUAUUUCAUUUAAUUUCAGGGAAUCUUCAGCAAAACAAUCCUUGAGAGAUUAACAAGACAGCCCGGGAGUGGGAGGAGUUCAUGGCGAUCGCUUCGCCAGAAUCUCAGCGGAACUCGAAAUGUGCCUCGCGGAGGCACUCGCUAUUGAUGGAGAAAAAUUUCGACGCGAGCUCGAUGGACGAUGAAAAUGCUGCCACUUAUGAGAGCCUGGAGGGAGAUUCAGUGCUAGCGUUGGCGCAAAUUAUGCGGCGAACCAUCAUUGUCAUGUCGGAUGUGUUUUUGCGCGAUAUGAACGGGGAAGCCUUUUCGCCGAUUCCGUUUGGUAGUGUCUAUCGUUCGAGGUGCCGUCAAAUAAGUGCCAUCGGACCCCGUUGCUGUUUGGUCUACGAUAUGGCCCAUUUUUCGGCCCUGGUUGCUAUGGAAACUCCGAAUGAUUUUCCUCCGGCGUUCAUUUCACUGGUGGAUCCCAGCAGUCAGCUGUUGCUUAUUUAGUUUUGCAUCGAUUCGGGAAAAGAUUUUCAUUGGUGGGAGUAUGACGGCAGUAAUGCGAACUGGUUGUUGACGGAUGGAGAGCAUGUGGCGUUGCUGAAAGUAUACUUGGAGAUAAUUUACGCACCCGUCGCGGGCAGUCCGGAUGAUGAGAUUUAUGACGAUUACUCGGACGAGGAGUAUGAGAAGAAAAUCGCCGACGGGGAGGUUGUAUUUUCGGACGAGAAUUAUAACAGCGAAACGAGUGCAUCUAAUCUAGCCGCAAUAAGUACUUCUAAUUAGUCACUUCCACCAUUCCCACCCAGUUCGAGAAGCGGUGGUGGGUCGAGCGGAAAAAGUAAAGUCGGAAAGUGUGGUAAAGCGUGUAAGGCAUUGUAACAUCCGUUGGAAUAAUCCGACUUUUUUGCUUCCAUCAACUGCAGCCAAUAGCAUCAGCUUUCCCGCAACAGUAUUCUCCAAGCCCUGGUGGCUAUCCCGGGGGACAGCAUCAACAGCAGCCGGACCUGACCAUCGAUAGUAUUUCGAGCAAUUUUUCCUAUCGGAGAUCCCUUGCUUCGCGCUCAUUGAAUAAUAUAUGCGAAUAUGCAUUGCGCCACAUAUGUGAGAAAAGUUCUCAGCUGGAUGUCGAAUAGUUUAUAUUUCAUAUGCAUUUUUAAUUUUUUUUAAAUAAAAUGAUUAAAAUCGA